rnacentral:misc_RNA from 1 species
GAAAUGCGAUAAGUAAUGUGAAUUGCAGAAUUCAGUGAAUCAUCGAAUCUUUGAACGCACAUUGCGCCCGCCAGAAUUCUGGCGGGCAUGCCUGUUCGAGCGUCAUUUCAACCCUCGAGCUCCCCUUGCGGGGGGAGCCCGGCGUUGGGGACGCGGCGCCAACAGCGCCGGCCCCGAAAUGGAGUGGCGGCCCGUCCGCGGCGACCUCUGCGUAGUAACAUCCACUCGCACCGGGACCCGGGCGCGGCCACGCCAUAAAACACCCCACCUUCCGAAUGUUGACCUCGAAUCAGGUAGGAAUACCCGCUGAACUUAAGC